CCUACGGGCGGCAGCAGUGAGGAAUAUUGGUCAAUAGACGAGAGUCUGAACCAGCCAAGUAGCGUGAAGGAUGACUGCCCUAUGGGUUGUAAACUUCUUUUAUAUGGGAAUAAAAUGUUCCACGUGUGGGAUUUUGUAUGUACCAUAUGAAUAAGGAUCGGCUAACUCCGUGCCAGCAGCCGCGGUAAUACGGAGGAUCCGAGCGUUAUCCGGAUUUAUUGGGUUUAAAGGGAGCGUAGGUGGAUUGUUAAGUCAGUUGUGAAAGUUUGCGGCUCAACCGUAAAAUUGUAGUUGAAACUGGCAGGCUUGAGUACAGUAGAGGUGGGCGGAAUUCGUGGUGUAGCGGUGAAAUGCUUAGAUAUCACGAAGAACUCCGAUUGCGAAGGCAGCUCACUGGACUGCAACUGACACUGAGGCUCGAAAGUGUGGGUAUCAAACAGGAUUAGAUACCCUGGUAGUC
rnacentral:rRNA from 1 species